CUGGCUCAGGACGAACGCUGGCGGCGUGCCUAAUACAUGCAAGUCGAGCGAACAGAGAAGGAGCUUGCUCCU
rnacentral:rRNA from 1 species